UGAACUCACAAUGAGAAUUUACCAUCAUAAUAAAAUUCUAAGAUAGAUUGUAUAGAUUUGGAGAAAAGUUAUGGAAAAUAAUAAGAUGAAAGCUAAUGGAGUUAUGAUUAUGAUAGUAAUUAUGUUGGGUUUCUCAGAAGCUAUCCACAAACCUUCACUUGAUCAAAUUGAACCAAAUCGUGUAUAUGAUAAACUCAGUUGUCUUCAAAUUUGUGAAUUAGAAUGUUCACCUUUACUAAUACCUCCUGGUGUUGGCGGUCUAUAUAUUAUGUGUUAAAAAGUGCUUUGACAAAAAAUGUCAUGAUAUAAAGCCCACCAAUGCCAUCAACGAUUGUAUCAUAGGCUGUGGUUUGAUCAAGUCCAUUGACAUCAACAUUGAUGCUCGUGAUAUUGCAAACUUGGUGGAUUUAUGCCUCCAAAAGUGCCGAAACAAGUAGUAAUUUAUUACAUGAAUGGUUAUAAAAAAGAUUGCUAUGAGAAAUAAUACUAAUGCAUGUUUGUAAUAAUAAACAAGUCAUAGCCCAUAAAUAACAUUUUAUUUUAUUUUAUGCAAA